GCUGUAGCUUAAUGGUAGAGCAUUUGCUUUGUCUGCAAAACGUUGUAGGUUCAAUCCCCAGCAUCUCCA